UACGGAGGGUGCGAGCGUUAAUCGGAAUUACUGGGCGUAAAGCGCGCGUAGGCGGCUUUGCAAGUCGGGUGUGAAAUCCCCAGGCUUAACCUGGGAACUGCAUUCGAGACUGCAUUGCUAGAGUAUGGGAGAGGGAAGUGGAAUUUCCGGUGUAGCGGUGAAAUGCGUAGAUAUCGGAAGGAACAUCAGUGGCGAAAGCGACUUCCUGGACCAAUACUGACGCUCAUGUGCGAAAGCGUGGGGAGCAAACAGG
rnacentral:rRNA from 1 species